UACGUAGGCAGCAAACGUUGUUCGGAGUUACUGGGCGUAAAGAGUGCGUAGGCGGUUCGCUAAGUCUGGUGUGAAAUCUCCCGGCUCAACUGGGAGGGUGCGCUAGAUACUGACGGGCUUGAGUAUGGGAGAGGGAAGCGGAAUUCCUGGUGUAGCGGUGAAAUGCGUAGAUAUCAGGAGGAACACCAGCGGUGUAGACGGCUUCCUGGACCAUUACUGACGCUGAGGCACGAAAGCGUGGGGAGCAAACAGG
rnacentral:rRNA from 1 species